rnacentral:rRNA from 1 species
UACGUAGGGUGCGAGCGUUGUUCGGAGUUACUGGGCGUAAAGAGUGCGUAGGCGGUUUUCUAAGUUUGGUGUGAAAUCUCCCGGCUUAACUGGGAGGGUGCGCCGAAGACUGGAAGGCUUGAGUAUGGGAGAGGUAAGCGGAAUUCCUGGUGUAGCGGUGAAAUGCGUAGAGAUUAGGAAGAACACCAGUGGCGAAGGCGACUUACUGGACUGUAACUGACGCUGAGGCAUGAAAGCGUGGGGAGCAAACAGG